AAGUGCUUCCCGAUCAGCUGAUAUGAGACGUCGUGUGAAUAGGCCUAUAUCCAAAAUGAAUAGAACAAUCGGAAACAUUAAACAAUACAGAAAUUUAUGGUGAUUUGUUUUACGAGUUCAUGAACCAAUAGUUUUAACAAAGUUUUAAGAUUGAGCUGACUGAGCUGCUGUUGGAUGUAUUUCGUUUUCUUCAAUGCAUGUUGCAGAAAUCCCUCGGAUCGGUUUUUAUGCUCUGGCAUCUUCAGUGAAUUAUCCAUCAAGAAGGCAACGGAAGAUCAGCGUUAACCAGCGUUCUUCCUGAUUUAACAUCGCUUCUACAAGCUGACGGAAAACGGAUUCAUCGAGCCGGGAGUAGCGCUCUUCAAGGCAGAUCUUCUUCAGCAUCGCAUCAGUCAGAACAUGACAGCCAGUCACUGUACAUGAAGGUCAGCCAAGAGUCAUGCCGGCGACCGUGGAUGGCGAACUGCCUUCAGUGGUAUCCGGAUCAUCUCCGGAUCUGAUAAAACGCAAAUUUUAUUUGCGCAAAUUAUUUAUUUAUUUGCGUGAACUCAUUAUUUAUUUAGAAUUGAAAUUUGUACAAAUUACCAUUGAUCAGUUCAAAUUAAUUAUUAUUAUACACAUAUUUACAAUUCUGUAUCAUGCAUCAUGCGUGGACCUCGGCAUCGCACUUGAUGAUAUUCAAUAAAAGAAGCGUCCAGUUUAACCUACUACACAACUCUUAUUAUUUUAACUGCAAAUGAUGGUUGAAAAUUUCACUUAUAGCUGCGUUUAUAGUUACCAUGGCCCAACAUUAAAAUUUACUACACGAUUGUAGUAAUUUUUAAUGCAAGAGAUGGUUGAACAAAUAACUUUUAUUC